GUUAAAUGCUGUCGGCAGUGAUAAAUAGGCAGGCAGCAAGUGGCUGCGCUGCUUCCCUGUGUUUUUCUCCGAGAACCUGCAGCAGAUUGCCUAUAAUUGCUCAUUGCUCUCCAUUAGUGUAUCUCCCUCCUGGCAACUCUUUAAUAGUUUACAUCUCUUGGGGCUGAAAAUUACUAUUUUAAUUAAAACAAUUUGUUUCAAAUGGGGCUCCCAAAUCCCCACACGAUGUUUUAGGAGCCUUGGGCAAAGAACAGAAAACGGAGAGGAGCAAUUGUUUUUAGGGCUAAGAGUAAAGCUGAAUGUAGGAGUUUGGGAUUCUCAAUCAAUUUCUGAGGCCCAACCUCACAGACUGUGAGAAGCAAUGAUUUUCUGGAGAAGAAAAAGAAAGUGCCAAGAAAAGGAGCUUUGGGCGCUUAAAUGCUACAACAACGCACUUUGGAAGUGUGAGGGAGCAGCCAGAGCCAUGCAAGUGCUGUUUGCUCUUCCUGCACGUACCGAGCUGGAGGCUCCCAGUCCCUGUGCCACUUCUCAGUUCCUGAGGGUUUCGCAUCUGCUGCCAGCUGUGCCCAGGGCUCCUGCUGUGUGCUGGAGCAAGUCCUUCGUCAGGCAUCGAGGGGAAGGACUUGGGAAGUUUCCAUGUCUGGGGCUGAGCCCCGAUGCCUGCUGUGCUGGAUUCACCAUACACCAGCAGCACAACGAUCAUCCACUUCAUUCCAAGCACCUGCCUGCCUGCCAAACAUCCUUGCUCUGCUCUGAUGGCAGCCUCUGUGAUAGUUCCUGGGAAGCUGGUGCUCGCACGUGUGCCAGGGACUGGCUGGUGACUGCAAACAGAAUUCCCGUCUGGACCAACCCCCUGAAGAGCUGGGUCUGCUGCAGCUCCAGCUGCACAGUGGCUACAUCAAAGUCCAGAGAAGGAAGGCUGCCCUUGUGGUUGGUGGCUAAUGACUUUAUAGGACAAAAGCAUUGA
rnacentral:lncRNA from 1 species